rnacentral:rRNA from 1 species
UACGAAGGGGGCUAGCGUUGUUCGGAAUUACUGGGCGUAAAGGGCGCGUAGGCGGUGAGUCAAGUCAGGCGUGAAAGCCCCGGGCUCAACCUGGGAACAGCGCUUGAGACUGGCACGCUCGAGUUCGGGAGAGGAUGGUGGAAUUCCCAGUGUAGAGGUGAAAUUCGUAGAUAUUGGGAAGAACACCGAUGGCGAAGGCAGCCAUCUGGACCGACACUGACGCUGAGGCGCGAAAGCGUGGGGAGCAAACAGG